rnacentral:misc_RNA from 1 species
UACGGAGGGUGCGAGCGUUGUUCGGAAUCAUUGGGCGUAAAGCGCGUGUAGGCGGCCACCUAAGUCUGGUGUGAAAGCCCGGGGCUUAACCUCGGAAGUGCACUGGAUACUGGGUGGCUAGAGGACGGGAGAGGGAAGCGGAAUUCCUGGUGUAGGGGUGAAAUCCGUAGAUAUCAGGAGGAACAUCAGUGGCGAAGGCGGCUUCCUGGCCCGUAUCUGACGCUGAGACGCGAAAGCGUGGGGAGCAAACAGG